CAGUAAUUGUGCCCAGUGCCCAGCAGCAGCCCCGGUCCUGUUUACACCUCUGCCCUCCACCUGGACCUGGGACCUGUUUCCAAGUGUGUGUUUUUAAGCGCAAGUGAAGACGUUUGGGGAAUUCGUUGCCCAGGAAAAAGUUAUUCUCAACAGGAUUGGUAAGACUGAAGAUGUCCUUGAAGAGACGGCUGCUGUCCAUGCUGUUGUGCUGUGUUUACUGCGUGGCCUCGCUCUUCUGCCUCCACCCAAACCGCAACAACUGCUUCUCCCUUGGAGCUCGGAAUCUGGUGUCAGUCGUCCAGCAGCUUUACCAGCGUGUCAUUCGGCUGCUUCGCACCACUCUCUAAUCCACAGCGCCCCUGUCUGGAUUUAUACCAAUCAUCUUUUGACACCGGUCAUUGUGGCUGUCAUAAAGCAUGUCCUCAAGUAGUGCAUUGCCAAUUAAAAAGAAGAAGAAGAAACAGAGGAAUGGCGUCACUCAGCUCUGUGACUGGGAAGUUUCCACCGACUCUCUAAAUUGGGCUUCAACGGCCCUGCUUUAGUAUGACCAUCAUUUAGAGGAGGAAAAUGUUUGUUUUUUUACCAAACAAGAUCAACAUGUUGGUUUAUGCUGUGUGAGAUGGUUAUGCGUUAAUAACGCGUUCACUUUGACAGCCCUCAAACGAAUUAAGAUAAACCCAUGGUGCAUCAACAGUAGGCUAUGACAGUGAUUGAUGACUUUUACUUCAAAGCGUAUUUCUCCUUCAGUAUGUAAAAAUAUACAGCAGGUCUGAAUAUAUAAACAGAUAAA